GAUGAAGAACGUAGCGAAAUGCGAUAAGUAAUGUGAAUUGCAGAAUUCAGUGAAUCAUCGAAUCUUUGAACGCACCUUGCGCCCUUUGGCUAUUCCGAAGGGCAUGCCUGUUUGAGUAUCGUGAACACCUCAACUCUCAUGGUUUGCCAUGAUGAGCUUGGACUUUGGGGGUUUAGCUGGCCUUUGGUCGGCUCCUCUCAAACGGAUCAGCUUUCCAGUGUUUGGUGGCGUCACGGGUGUGAUAACUAUCUACGCCUGUGGUUUUCUGCCAGAUAACCUUCAGCGAUGGAGGUUCGCUGGGGCUCAUAAAUGUCUCUCUUCAGUGGAGACAGCUUUUUGGACGUUUGAUCUCAAAUCAGGUAGGACUACCCGCUGAACUUAAGCAUAUCAAUAAGCGGAGGA
rnacentral:misc_RNA from 1 species